rnacentral:rRNA from 1 species
GACGAACGCUGGCGGCGUGCUUAACACAUGCAAGUCGAACGGAAAGGCCCUGCUUUUGUGGGGUGCUCGAGUGGCGAACGGGUGAGUAACACGUGAGUAACCUGCCCUUGACUUUGGGAUAACUUCAGGAAACUGGGGCUAAUACCGGAUAGGAGCUCCUGCUGCAUGGUGUGGGUUGGAAAGUUUCGGCGGUUGGGGAUGGACUCGCGGCUUAUCAGCUUGUUUGUGGGGUAGUGGCUUACCAAGGCUUUGACGGGUAGCCGGCCUGAGAGGGUUACCGGCCAAAUUGGGACUGAGAUACGGCGCAGACUCCUACGGGAGGCAGCAGUGGGGAAUAUUGCACAAUGGGCGGAAGCCUGAUGCAGCAAAGCCGCGUGCGGGAUGACGGCCUUCGGGUUGUAAACAGCUUUCGACUGUGACGAAGCGUGAGUGACGGUAAUGGGUAAAGAAGCACCGGCUAACUACGUG